rnacentral:lncRNA from 1 species
GCUGCUUUUCUGCUUAGCAUCUGAACAAGUUAAUUUGGAAACACAGCCUUCUGGAAAGAAAUGGCGCUUCUCUCAGCAUCCCAUGGAUUCAUGAGCAGCUCCUUGAAUGCAAAUAUUGCCUGAUAUUUUCAUGGUGAGGGAGAAUGGGAGAAACAAGAAAUGAUUACAUUAUUGUGGAUACUUUUAUUCACCACAAUGGAAGUCUUUAAACAUAAAGUUGAUGUACAUUAAGAGGCAAGACCCAGGGCAUAUCAUCUAAAGAAGAUUCCUCCCACUUUUCUUCUGCUUACACCAAUCCAUCCAACCAUACAUGAAUUUAUAUUCAAUGUACUCAAUUUAUUCAGUGUAUAAUAUUGCUUUGUGAACUAUGGGAAAUAUAAAUAUGACUCAGUUUUUCCCCUCAAA